rnacentral:rRNA from 1 species
GCAUAUCAAUAAGCGGAGGAAAAGAAACCAACAGGGAUUGCCUCAGUAACGGCGAGUGAAGCGGCAACAGCUCAAAUUUGAAAUCUGGCCGCAAGGUCCGAGUUGUAAUUUGUAGAGGAUGCUUUUGGCGAGGUGCCUUCCGAGUUCCCUGGAACGGGACGCCAUAGAGGGUGAGAGCCCCGUACGGUAGGACCACCAAGCCUCUGUAAAGCUCCUUCGACGAGUCGAGUAGUUUGGGAAUGCUGCUCUAAAUGGGAGGUGUACGUCUUCUAAAGCUAAAUACCGGCCAGAGACCGAUAGCGCACAAGUAGAGUGAUCGAAAGAUGAAAAGCACUUUGAAAAGAGGGUUAAAAAGUACGUGAAAUUGUUGAAAGGGAAGCAUUCAUGACCAGACUUGGGCUUGGUUGAACAUCCGGCGUUCUCGCCGGUGCACUCUGCCAGUCCAGGCCAGCAUCAGUUUGCCCCGGGGGAUAAAGGCGGCGGGAAUGUGGCUCCCUUCGGGGAGUGUUAUAGCCCGUCGUGUAAUGCCCUGGGGCGGACUGAGGAACGCGCUUCGGCACGGAUGCUGGCGUAAUGGUCAUCAAUGACCCGUCUUGAAACACGGACCAAGGAGUCGUCUUCGUAUGCGAGUGUUCGGGUGUCAAACCCCUACGCGUAAUGAAAGUGAACGUAGGUGAGAGCUUCGGCGCAUCACCGACCGAUCCUGAUGUUCUCGGAUGGAUUUGAGUAAGAGCAUACGGGGCCGGACCCGAAAGAAGGUGAACUAUGCCUGUAUAGGGUGAAGCCAGAGGAAACUCUGGUGGAGGCUCGCAGCGGUUCUGACGUGCAAAUCGAUCGUCAAAUAUGGGCAUGGGGGCGAAAGACU